rnacentral:rRNA from 1 species
GUCGAACGGUAGCACAGAGGAGCUUGCUCCUUGGGUGACGAGUGCCGUACGGGUGAGUAAUGUCUGGGAAACUGCCCGAUGGAGGGGGAUAACUACUGGAAACGGUAGCCAAUACCGCAUAACGUCGCAAGACCAAAGAGGGGGACCUUCGGGCCUCUUGCCAUCGGAUGUGCCCAGAUGGGAUUAGCUAGUAGGUGGGGUAACGGCUCACCUAGGCGACGAUCCCUAGCUGGUCUGAGAGGAUGACCAGCCACACUGGAACUGAGACACGGUCCAGACUCCUACGGGAGGCAGCAGUGGGGAAUAUUGCACAAUGGGCGCAAGCCUGAUGCAGCCAUGCCGCGUGUAUGAAGAAGGCCUUCGGGUUGUAAAGUACUUUCAGCGAGGAGGAAGGUGUUGUGGUUAAUAACCGCAGCAAUUGACGUUACUCGCAGAAGAAGCACCGGCUAACUCCGUGCCAGCAGCCGCGGUAAUACGGAGGGUGCAAGCGUUAAUCGGAAUUACUGGGCGUAAAGCGCACGCAGGCGGUCUGUCAAGUCGGAUGUGAAAUCCCCGGGCUCAACCUGGGAACUGCAUCCGAAACUGGCAGGCUAGAGUCUUGUAGAGGGGGGUAGAAUUCCAGGUGUAGCGGUGAAAUGCGUAGAGAUCUGGAGGAAUACCGGUGGCGAAGGCGGCCCCCCUGGACAAAGACUGACGCUCAGGUGCGAAAGCGUGNGGAGCAAACAGGAUUAGAUACCCUGGNAGUCCACGCCGUAAACGAUGUCGACUUGGAGGUUGUGCCCUUGAGGC